rnacentral:rRNA from 1 species
UACGGAGGGUGCGAGCGUUGUCCGGAAUCAUUGGGCGUAAAGGGCGCGUAGGCGGGCUGCCGCGUCCGGGGUGAAAGCCCCCCGCUCAACGGGGGAACGGCCUCGGAUACGGGCGAUCUCGAGGGGGGUAGGGGCACCUGGAACUGUGGGUGGAGCGGUGAAAUGCGUUGAUAUCCACAGGAACUCCGGUGGCGAAGGCGAGGUGCCUGGACCCCAUCUGACGCUGAGGCGCGGAAAGGCCAGGGGAGCGAACGGG